UUUUUUUUUCUAUCUAAAACUUGCUGUGUCUCAGGCUGGCCUUGAAAUCAGAGAUCUGCUUGCCUCUGUCUCUUAAAAUUAAAGGUGUGUACCACCUUGCCUGAGCCUAAGCUUUUCAUGGCCAUUGUUCCUUAAGAUCCAGAAAAAAAAAAAAAGAAAGUCCAAGUGAAAAAAUUAUCCAAAUAACAAUAAUGCCUAACAUGAUAUAACUAUUCCUUGUCCAAUGGCAAACACACAAACAAUAAGCUUGGCUGGGUGGGAUUAUGCCCUUACUCUGUUUAUCUCCUUGAAUACAGGAUUCAGCUCCAUUUCACUUCGUGGUGUCUGUUUAUUACUUGAACCAUACAUUUUAUAUUUUUCCUUUCUAAGUUUGCUAUGCUUGUUCAAAAUGUUCUUCCUGAGACUUAACCAGAGAACAAAGUCUCUGUUGGACUUUCUUGAGACUUCCAUUGUCAAUGCAAUUAAUAUAAAUCUCUUUACCUUAGCCUCAGGUACACUCUUCAGGCUUAGGUAGAAUGAAGUCAGAUGAACUCCUGGGGGCCGGAUUGGCACACAGAAUGUGAAUUCUGGUGAAUAUCUUGAAUAUGAAGGCAGAUCUGAGAUUGGGAGAGGUAUAUGGAGCAGACAGACCAUCAGAUAGAGUUCCCGGCUAGACGCUGGUACAAGAUGGAUAAGAUUUAGCUGGGCAGAGAGAUUAGAUACAGAGAGGAAGGAGCCUGCAGACUGUAAGCAGGUGGCAUGCUCCUAUGUUGAGCCUGGAAUUUGCGGACAGCACAUUUGCCUCCACUACAUUUCAGCUUUAGCUUUUUUAUGCAGGUGUGUUGGUGAUAUUUUGUCAUGUUUAGUUGGAAUGUUUUUUUUAACUGAAUCUGUAGCUAUUAGUUAAUGUGAAGCCUAUUUCAAGAUUUUUUUUCUUAGUUUUACACCAUCAGUUAUCUAAAUAGAACUGGAUCACUCCAUUUAGUAAAAUGAAACUGUAACAAACAGAAUUUGUGCUGGGUGGUGGUGAUUCAUGCCUUUAAUCCCAUCAGUCUGUAGGCAGAGACAGGCAUAAGUUUGAGACCAGCUAGGUCUACAGAACAUGUUCCAGAACAGCCAAAGAUACACAGAGAAACUCUGAUUUAAAAACAAACAAACAAACAAAAGAAUUUGUUGUAAAUAAUUCUGUUCACUUGAUUUCUUCAUGACAAUUUAAAGAUUUAGCUAAUACCUGAGUGAUGUUGUUAUUUUAAGUGGAAAGAGUUUUUACCCAUUUGCAGGUUUGUCAAGCUCCUCUAUUAAAAAAUAGGUUAACCUUAAAGUUUAAUUGGAGUUCAUAAGUCGAUUUUUUUUCCUCCCUUGAAGAUAAAUCUUUGAUUAUAUGUCUAAGAAAAUUCAUCUGAGCAAGUACCUAGGAGCAAUGAGCUUUACUGC
rnacentral:lncRNA from 1 species